rnacentral:rRNA from 1 species
GCAAGUACUCUGAAGAGAGAGUAAACAGUACGUGAAACUGCUCAGAGGUAAACGGAUAGAGUUGAACUGCAAGCCCGAAAGAUUCAGCUGGUAAACAUAAUUUGAACUUGGUCAUAUUUGUCGACUUCAUGGGUCUGCUUAACUGCGGGUCUCUGCCCUUGGGUGGAGAUUAGCGAUGCACUUAUCAUGUGUUGCUUGCCUUUGUUGCCGCGGACUAGUUUGCCAGUGCACUUCUUCCGGGUCAUCACCACGACCGGCGCUGCUGUCUGUCUGCUGUCACAAUUGAAAGGUAGCUUGUUAGCUUUCGGGCUUUCAAGUGUAAUAGUCAGUGGCAGUGGAGCUGUGCAGUGUGUCGGAGACGGCGGCUUUGAUGUCGUUGUGAGUGCACUUGUGUGCUUGCGAUGAUGCAUUAAUGGGCCAACAGUCUGUGGUGUAGUGGUAAGCUCUCUAUCCGACCCGUCUUGAAACACGGACCAAGGAGUUUAACAUGUGCGCGAGUCAUUGGGUUCUACGAAACCUACAGGCGCAGUGAAAGUAAAUGUUUGGCUUGUCCGAACUGAGGUGAGAUCUUGUCGUUUCUCAUGCGUGGUACUACCAAGUAUUCGAGCGGCAGGCGCAUCACCGGCCCGUCCCAUGGUGUGGUCAUGGUUCCUUUUGGUACUAUGCGUCACCGGGGCGGAGCAUGAGCGUACAUGUUGAGACCCGAAAGAUGGUGAACUAUGCUUGUGCAGGUUGAAGCCAGAGGAAACUCUGGUGGAGGACCGCAGCGAUUCUGACGUGCAAAUCGAUCGUCAAACAUGAGCAUAGGGGCGAAAGACUAAUCGAACCAUCUAGUAGCUGG